AUACCUACCCUAGGGUUUUUGAUCAGCCGCUCUCUCCUCCGUUUCGUUUCUGCCUUUCUUCAAUCUAGAAUUUUGGAUCUUCGUCUUAAUCAAGUUGAUGAACUUAUAACCCGACUUCACUCACAACCAACUUCCAAUGCCCUAGGGUUUCUUCCAGACGUCUGUUCGUCAUCUCCACCAUCUCAUCUAUCUCUCUCCAGCCACCACUAACCAAGUUGAUGAACUCGCUGCAGAAACCGACGAUGUGAUGGUUGCUAAUCAUCUCGAUUGUGCCUAUAGAGAGACGGUUGGGUGGCUGGAUUGGAAUGUCGUCGUCGCCGAUCCAAAUCAUCAGCGGCUAGGGCUCGAUUGAUCCCUGCAUCGAUUUAGGAUUUUUGUCUUCACCAACAUCAGACGAUUGAAUGCUUUGCAUUUGGGAACAACUCAAAGGGUUUGUGUGUGGACGGCUUUUCCGUUGGUGGUGUUGUCUAUUUUGGGUGCUUGCUCAAUCAUCAAUAGAUUCACAAGCAUAACUGGUGAAUUAUUUGGUCUGUUAAUCGCAAUGCUCUUUAUGCAGCAAGCUAUUAAAGGAGUUGUGGAUGAGUUUGGUAUACCAAAAAGUCAAAACCCUAAUCAACCUGCUAUGAAAUCUUCAUGGCGUUUUGGAAAUGGAAUGUUUGCUUUGGUUUUAUCUUUUGGUCUUCUCCUUACUUCUUUACAAAGUCGUAAAGCAAGAUCUUGGCGAUACGGAACAAGUUAAUGUCGGGGUGGGGGGAUCUAAGAAAAUGGUGUAGUAGAUAGUGUUUGGAUGUGCCGAUUUCAGUUUGACAACAUAAGACAGUUUUGUUUGAUUGCAGUAGUUCUAACAUAUGCAUUUAUGUGCAGGCUAGGCUUGGAUUUUUCGUUUUGAAAGAAAACCUUGCAAGAUCUGGUACUGGGACAAUUGUUGCUCUGCCUCUUUCUAAUUCUCUCACCUUCACUGUUCUACCAUUCUGUUUCUCAUCACCUCGCACUUCCAAAAUGGAUUCCACAUGGCGAUUCAAUUCCGACGAUUCUAAAGAAGACGAAAGUUUGAUUAUCGCAAAAGGGUGCUUCAAAGGGUUUGUUUGCGAAGACCACGGAAAGAACGAGCAACCAAGAUUCAUAAGCAACUAUGGAGAUGGCAUACCGGUGAUGGUCAAUAGAGUUUCAAGCCCCCACCACUUCUGCUUUAAUACCUCCAUGUCAGAAACAACAACUCUCCAUCCACCCACACCAUUCGCAAAGCCAUUCCAAAACAACUUACUGUGGUGGCGACUAAGGGUGAUGUUGAUGACAAUUUUGGUACACAGCAACAGUGGAAUAGGGUUUCACUGUGACCAUGACGGCUGCGGGUGUAGUUUCCGCUGGUGACGUCCUGACGGUUUUGAUGGUUCAGCACGUAGUAAGUGGUUCGAUUUCAAGAGGAUACACAGUUGCACAAUGGCUCUUCGUUUUGAGGGUUACAUUGCCUUAUGGGACUGUGAAGGAGUGGAAGAAAUGGGAAACAACUCAUUUCGAUCUAACGAAGGAGUUAUCAAAUAGUUUGUCUUCAAAUGCUUUGAUUUCUCAGGUGGAUGGUGUGAUGUAGCACAUGUCAUGGCGUUUGGAAGGUGGGUGUCAUGUCAGCUCAAGAUAUUCACUUUUGAUAGUGAUGAGGGACGCGAUAAGUGUUGGCAUUCGAGUGCUCAUAUUCUUGGGCAGGUUCCGGAACAAACAUAUGGAUGCAAGUUGUGUAUUGGGACGUGUACUAUAGGAGGAGAGGUAUGUUUUUAGUGUUUUGUUCUCUUUACUUCAAGGUUCUUUAGUUGUUAGGGUUGUAGUAAGAUUUGAUAUUGUAUAUUGGAGAUCAGUUUCUCCUGGCUUGUGUGUGUUGCAUUCCACUAAUAUAUGCUGUAUUUGGAAAAUAAAUAAUAUGUUUGGAUUGUAUUUUAUAGCUAUCGGGUCUGAUUUUUAAAUAUCUAUGCAAUAGUUUAAUAAAAAUAUCAUUUUUAGCUACCGGGUUGUAAAAUUGGUUGUUGGACUUGGAGUUGGUGUCCCAUGGAUUACGUAGUAGCAAAUUGAUGCUCUAUAAUACAUUGUCCCUUCCUACUAUGUUGGCUUUCGUUUCAAUAAACGCUAUUCAGAGUUAGAAGCGACAAUCUUGACAUGUUCGCAUAUGAAUCGGUUGAUUCGUGUUUUAUGUCUAUCCGUUGAUUCGUGUUUUAUGUCUAAGGACUAACGGGGUAAAUGGGUAAAUAAAAGUUCAGCUCAAAACCAGAAAAUGAUAAUGUUAAAAAUGGUCAAGUGUCCCUGAGUAUAUGUUUAAUGCAAAUAUAUCCUACAUAAUUUAUCCAAGAAAUAUAUAUAUAUUUUUUUAUUUAAAUGCAUUACUUUCGUAAUCAUAUUUGAUACACGCGUUGUUUAUACGAAGACUUUAGUUUUAGACAAACCAUGUAUCGGGUCAAACCUGACUCGUUUCAACCCAUAAAAAAUUACCCCUUUUCACCGGUGACCAAACUCUAUUGAGACGGAACCUAACUUGACAACUUGAUUUUGUUUGGACAUGGGUUUGUUAUUGCAAAUGGAUACUAUCAACUCAUUUAUCUGGCGAUUGCUAAGGAGUUUGAAAGCGUGAGAGCUGGUACACCUGUGGCGACUUUUGAUAUGUCAAGAUACGGGCUUGAUGUUCCAUCACAUAAUGAUGAAACUGCUUGGAAGCAGCCACUUCAUAAAUCUCAAUGCUUACUUCAACAUCAAGUUAUCGGGUUUGGCUAAAGCAUAUAACUAUCUUGCCGGCAUAUAUACUCAUGUGCUUGGAUUUUUUGAGUUGGCUUUUUGUUAAUCUUUUAUUUUGAGCGAAGAUAUGGAAGAAGUUGAAGCUGCUAAUAGAGUUGUUGAAAGUUUCCAUAAAAUUUUCAGCCUGUUGGUUAAACCACAAGAUCAAACUCAGUACAAAAACUUGAUGGUCCAAACAGGAGAUGCAUCGGUUAAGUUCAAGAAAAUUGUAACUUUACUUGAUGAUGGUGUGGGUCAUGCUAAGGUUAAAUGGUCAGCUACUCCACCAUUUUAACCAUACCAAAACUACCACAAUCAGUUAAAGAAAUUAAAUCAAACUAGGUCUAUACUUCCGUGCGCAUUGUGCACGGGACCGCUGCGAAGAACAAAAAAGAAAAUGUAGAAAAAAACACUAAAAGAUAACUGAAAGAAAAUAAACAAAAAAAAUAUAAGAACCUACAAUAAAGAAUAACAUGUAAAACCUUUAAUGCAUAGCUUACAACAACUAUAAGUAUAACAAUGUUACAAAUUGAUAAUAUAUAAUUUUGUUAAGAACACUCUUUAUCUUUAGGGAACCAUAACCUUCAGCCUUCACUUGAAUUAAAGCUCAAAUGGGAAGCAUUUCCUUCACAUUUCCCAAAAUAGCCCAAACCCUUCUUUUAAGUUUUAACUACCAUUUCCUUCGAGGCAAAAGCUCAAACUGCAAGCUGAGAUGGUGCAUUGGUUCGUCACAUUUAGCUGAUCAUGCUACGUAUCAACAAAAAAGGCGAUGUUCAGUUAGGGGUGAUGAUUGGACUGUGAAAUGUGGGUGUUAUGGUAGUUGUCAUUGCUAAAAAAAGAGAAACAGAGGGUUAAGAGGUCAAUCAAAGUGCAUGCCAUUAGUAACAAGUAUGGUCAAAAAGCCUAUCAAGGGUGAUCCACAUCCAAGAAAUCAAAAUGAGGCCUUGUGAUCUCAGAGCAUGGUAUUCUAUCAGGCCAUGAUAAAGUAUACAAAAUUGGCAAACACAUAUCGGGCCAUCCUAAGUGUGGUAGAACAGAUGAAUCCUGAAAAUUAACAGCAUAAAAAAGAAAGAGGUCAACAUGGUUUAUCCAAUGUGUUGGCUAUUUGAUGAAGAUGGAUUAGUUUACCUGUGUCUCAACCAUGGAAUGUAUGAUAUAGACUGAGGGUGAAUAAUGAUAUCAAUAUUGUCAGUAAUCCGACCCAUAAAGAUAAUGGGCUUCAAUAACUUCUUGACCCUGCAAGGUGGACCCGAUUCAUUUUACUUUUAUACAACAGAAUUUCAUCAAAGAGCAUGGUUACCUAGUGAUAUUUGGGAUGUAGAAUUAGGUCAGGUAGGGUUGUAUUGAUCCCAGUCACUUCUUUUCCCAAAUUUUAUGAAUACUUAGCAUGUAAAAUAUGAUGAAAAAAAACAAAACCCCUUCAAUCAUUAUAACUUUUCUGAGAACAAAAUUAUUUAGGA